rnacentral:rRNA from 1 species
GUCUUGCUGUCACUUAUAGAUGGAUCCGCGCUGCAUUAGCUAGUUGGUAAGGUAACGGCUUACCAAGGCAACGAUGCAUAGCCGACCUGAGAGGGUGAUCGGCCACACUGGAACUGAGACACGGUCCAGACUCCUACGGGAGGCAGCAGUAGGGAAUCUUCCGCAAUGGGCGAAAGCCUGACGGAGCAACGCCGCGUGAGUGAUGAAGGUCUUCGGAUCGUAAAACUCUGUUAUUAGGGAAGAACAUAUGUGUAAGUAACUGUGCACAUCUUGACGGUACCUAAUCAGAAAGCCACGGCUAACUACGUGCCAGCAGCCGCGGUAAUACGUAGGUGGCAAGCGUUAUCCGGAAUUAUUGGGCGUAAAGCGCGCGUAGGCGGUUUUUUAAGUCUGAUGUGAAAGCCCACGGCUCAACCGUGGAGGGUCAUUGGAAACUGGAAAAC